rnacentral:rRNA from 1 species
AUACGGAAGGUCCGGGCGUUAUCCGGAUUUAUUGGGUUUAAAGGGAGCGCAGGCGGAGAUGCAAGCGUGACGUCAAAUUUCGGGGCUCAACCCCGUCUCGCGUCGCGAACUGCGUCCCUUGGUUGCGGGAAGGGGAGGCGGAACUCGUGGUGUAGCGGUGAAAUGCAUAGAUAUCACGAAGAACUCCGAUCGCGAAGGCAGCCUUCCGGCCCGUCAACGACGCUCAUGCUCGAAGGUGCGGGUAUCAAACAGGAUUAGAUACCCUGGUAGUCCGCACAGUAAACGAUGGACACCCGCGGUGUGGCCUGUAUGGCUGAGCCGCCAAGCGAAAGCGUUAAGUGUCCCACCUGGGGAGUACGCCGGCAACGGUGAAACUCAAAGGAAUUGACGGGG